CCACUCAAUGAUCUUCAGAUUAACUCAUUUUUUCUUGCAGGCUUGGGGUCUGAAUAUGAUCCGUUGGUUACAUCAAUCACUACCAGGGUUGAUACAAUGACUAUUGAUGAUAUUUUUGGGAUAUGCUUGCCUAUGAGA